rnacentral:misc_RNA from 1 species
UCUCCGUAGGUGAACCUGCGGAGGGAUCAUUACAGAGUUCAUGCCCUACCGGGUAGAUCUCCCACCCUAUGUUAUUAUUACUUUGUUGCUUUGGCGGGCCGUUAGGCUCCGGCCCGACUACCGGCCCCGGCUGGUAAGCGCCCGCCAGAGGACCCAAAACCCUGAAUAUUAGUGUCGUCUGAGUACUAUAUAAUAGUUAAAACUUUCAACAACGGAUCUCUUGGCUCUGGCAUCGAUGAAGAUCGCAGC